rnacentral:rRNA from 1 species
CCCUUAGAUGUUCUGGGCCGCACGCGCGCUACACUGAAUGGAUCAACGUGUUUUCCCUUCCCGAGAGGGACGGGUAACCCGCUGAACCCCAUUCGUGGUAGGGAUCGGAGCUUGCAAUUGUUCUCCGUGAACCAGGAAUUCCCAGUAAGCGCAAGUCAUAAGCUUGCGUUGAUUACGUCCCUGCCCUUUGUACACACCGCCCGUCGCUACUACCGAUUGAAUGGUCCGGUGAAAUCUCGGGACGGCGGCUUGGUCGCUUGCGUCCGACUGCUGAAACUUGAUUAAACCAUAUCAUUUAGAGGAAGGUGAAGUCGUANCA